ACUUCCUUAGUAUAAUUUAGUACGACUGACUUCCAAUCAGCCAGCUCUGGUUACAACCCAGAAUGAAGUA
rnacentral:tRNA from 1 species